CAGCAUAGCCAUGCUUCUUGAGGCAUUUUAGCACCCUGUACCCCAGGAGUUUCCUGACCUGGGGAUGAAGGCCAGGGUCGUUACAGUGGCUCCCAGGCCCUUUGCCCUGUAGGGUGCUGGGCCCAGUGGCCUUUCUGCCGCCAUUCAGCCAGGCCAGCAUGCCGAGCCCAGGGUUUUACUGCCACCUUCCUCUGUCUGGAGCGCUCCUUCCACAGAUGUCCAUGGUCCCAUGUCCUCACCUUCAAUCUUUGCCAACGUCCGUGGUCCCAUGUCCUCACCUCCUUCAAUCUUCGCUGAGCUGUCAGCUUGUGAAGCUUCUCUGACUCCACUGUUGAAACUGCAGCCCCAGCAUCUCCCACUUCUGCCCUUUUCCCUCGUGAGUCGUGACCGCUGUCUCACAUAACGGUAUUUUGCUUGUUUCUGACCACUGGGAUUAUAAGCUCUUUUGAAGGAUAGAGAAGAAAUAAAUUCUCCAAUUAACAAAUG
rnacentral:lncRNA from 1 species